rnacentral:tRNA from 2 species
GCUCACGUAGCUCAGGCUGGAUAGAGCGUCACCCUCCGAAGGUGAAGGUCAAAAGUUCAAAUCUUUUCGUGAGCG